AGCGAACGCUGGCGGCAGGCUUAACACAUGCAAGUCGAGCGGGCGUAGCAAUACGUCAGCGGCAGACGGGUGAGUAACGCGUGGGAACAUACCUUUUGGUUCGGGAACAACACAGGGAAACGUUGUGCUAAUACCGGAUAAGCCCUUACGGGGAAGGAUUAUCGCCGAAGAUUGGCCCGCGUCUGAUUAGCUAGUUGGUGAGGUAACGGCUCACCAAGGCGACGAUCAGUAGCUGGCUGAGAGGAUGAUCAGCCACAUUGGG
rnacentral:rRNA from 1 species